CAGCAAGCCUCCAGCGUGCUGGGGCCUGUCGUGCCCUAUGUAUUCCUGCAGUGCUUGCCAGAGCAAUUCGGAACGGUUUGAGGCCUCGCCCUGCUUCAUCCAGAGCGAGGUUAUAGACUUUCGGACAGUC
rnacentral:snoRNA from 13 species